rnacentral:rRNA from 1 species
UACCUCUGGUGUACCGGUUGCAGACCAACUGCACAGCCGGGUAGCGAUGUAUGGAACGGAUAAACGCUGAAGGCAUCUAAGCGUGAAGCCGCCCUCAAGAUGAGAUUUCCCAUUCUUCGGAAGUAAGGUCCCUUAAAGAGAAUGAGGUAGAUAGGUUGGAGGUGUAAGCACAGUAAUGUGUUCAGCUGACCAAUACUAAUAGACCGAGGGCUUGACCUA